UUAGAUAAAGCCAGCAAAAGGGUAUAUAAAAAAAGGACUAUUGUGUUUGUGUGUAUGCAGAGUGAGACACAAAGAUUUACAAGAACAAAACUGUUACUUACGACCUAUGAUUCAUUGUGUAGUCACCCUCUCUUAGUCUCUUUCUUGUUACAGGUAUGAAGGAGGAAGAAAAGGAGCAAGGAAAGAACAUAGCAGCCCAGUGAAUUUGCUGCUGAUGGGUCUUAGCUUGAAGAUGCAGAGUCACCAUGAUCAAAUGGGGUCUAAAAGAAAGUACACUUUCAUUCAGGACCAUAGAGCAUGGCUACCGUGGUUUUUGUUUAUGUGGGUCCUGCUAAUGGCUUUUAUCAGUUGGAAUAUCUAUAGUAAAAUGGAUGAUGACACUAAAGUUAGAAGGAAAGAGGUGUUGGGUAGCCUCUGUGAUCAAAGGGCAAGAAUGUUGCAAGAUCAGUUUAGUGUUAGUGUGAACCAUGUCCAUGCUCUUGCCAUCCUUGUUUCAACUUUCCAUUAUUACAGAAACCCUUCCGCCAUUGAUGAGGAAACCUUUGCUGAGUAUACAGCAAGAACAGCAUUUGAACGGCCAUUACUGAGUGGUGUGGCUUACGCACAAAGAGUAAUUAACUCAGAGAGAGAGAGAUUUGAGAAGCAACACGGAUGGGUUAUAAAGACAAUGGAAAGGGAGUCUUCACAGGUUAGAGAUGAGUAUGCACCAGUGAUAUUUGCUCAAGAAACUGUCUCAUACCUUGAGUCUCUUGAUAUGAUGUCUGGGGAGGAGGACCAAGAGAACAUUUUAAGGGCUAGGGCCACUGGGAAAGCAGUUCUAACAAGUCCUUUCAGGCUGUUGGGUUCUCAUCAUCUUGGCGUUGUUUUAACAUUUCCUGUGUACAAAUCUAAGCUCCCUCCAAAGCCAACACUAGAAGAACGCAUUGAAGCAACUGCAGGAUAUGUUGGAGGAUCCUUUGAUGUUGAGUCCCUUGUGGAGAAUUUACUUGGGCAACUUGCUGGUAACCAAGCAAUUUUGGUGAAUGUGUAUGAUAUCACAAAUUGUAGUAAUCCCCUAACCAUGUAUGGAAAUCACUCCGAAGAAGCUGAUAUGUCUCUUUCCUAUGAAAGCAAACUCGAUUUCGGAGAUCCAUACAGGAUACAUCAGAUGAUAUGUAGGUAUCAUCAGAAGGAACCAACAAAUUGGGUCGCCCUUACCACGGCAGUCCUAUUCUUUGUGAUUCUUAUAUUAGUGGGUUACAUUUUAUAUGAAGCUGGAAAUCAUAUUGUCAAAGUUGAAGAUGAUUUUCAUGAAAUGCAGGAUUUAAAAGUCCGAGCAGAAGCAGCUGAUGUUGCCAAGUCCCAGUUUCUAGCUACAGUCUCUCAUGAAAUUAGAACACCAAUGAAUGGCAUUUUAGGAAUGAUGGCUCUACUUCUAGAUACAGAAUUGAGUUCAACCCAACGAGAUUAUGCUCAGACUGCUCAAGCAUGUGGAAAGGCACUGAUAACAUUGAUAAAUGAGGUUCUUGACCGGGCUAAAAUUGAAGCUGGCAAGUUAGAGCUAGAGGCUGUUCCAUUUGACCUCCGUUCCAUACUUGACGACGUCCUUUCUCUUUUCUCUGAGAAGUCUAGACACAAAAGUCUAGAGUUGGCUGUGUUUGUUUCUGAUAAAGUCCCAGAUAUUCUUAUGGGAGAUCCUGGAAGAUUCAGACAAAUAAUAACAAAUCUUGUUGGCAACUCUGUUAAGUUUACUGAGCAAGGACAUAUAUUUGUUAAAGUUCAUCUAGAGGAUAACAUAAAUCCCGUAAUGAAUGGAAAACAUGAAACUAUUCUGAAUGGAGAGUCAGAUGAGGUUUUCCAUUUAUCUGGUGAUUGCCAUUUCAAAACCUUAAGCGGAUGUGAAGCAGUUGAUGAACAGAACAGCUGGGAGAAUUUUAAGCAUCUGAUUGCAAAUGAAGAACGUUACUUCGAUUGUUCAAGUAAAAUGGCAGCCACUAGUGAAUCAUCGGAGCAAGUCAAAUUGAGAGUCUGUGUGGAGGACACUGGAACUGGAAUUCCUUUCUCAGCCCAGGAUACAAUAUUCAUGCCUUUUGUGCAGGCUGACAGCUCAACUUCUCGAAAUUACGGCGGUACUGGCAUUGGCUUGAGUAUCAGUAAAUGUCUGGUUGAACUAAUGGGUGGUCAGAUAAACUUCACAAGCCGGCCCCAGGUCGGGAGCACAUUUUCAUUUACUGCUGCUUUCGGAAUGUUUAAGAAAAAUUCAGUUAGUGACAUGAAGAAACUAAAUUUGGAAGAUCUUCCUUCCAGUUUUAGAGGCCUGAAAGUCAUAGUGGUCGAUGGAAAACCAGUUAGAGCUGCUGUGACUAGAUACCUUUUAAAGAGACUAGGGAUACUCGUUAAAGUUGCAAAUAGCAUCAGUCAGGCUGUGGCUUUAUGUGGGAAAAAUGGUUCUUUAACAUCAGGAAUGUUCCAACCUGAUAUUAUCAUGGUUGAGAAGGACACAUGGAUAUCUGGAGAGCAUGGAGGUUUCAACAUAUGGAAGCUGGACUUCAAACAGAAUGGACAUGUAUUUAAGAUGCCUAAAAUGAUCCUUCUGGCAACCAAUAUUAAGAAUACCGAGUUCGACCAAGCUAAGGCCACAGGUUUUACUGAUACUGUGAUCAUGAAGCCUCUGAGAUCUAGUAUGGUGGCUGCGUGUCUUCAGCAAGUUCUGGGGAUAGGGAAGAAGAGGCAGCUAGGACAGGACAUGCUGAAUGGUUCUUCUUUUCUACAAAGCCUUCUCUACGGAAAGAAAAUCUUGGUGGUCGAUGACAAUGUCGUGAACCGGAGAGUUGCUGCAGGUGCAUUAAAAAAGUUUGGAGCUGAUGUGAAGUGUGUUGAAAGUGGCAAAGCUGCACUUGAAAUGCUUCAAUUGCCUCACUGUUUUGAUGCUUGCUUCAUGGACAUUCAAAUGCCAGAAAUGGACGGAUUUGAAGCAACUAGUAAAAUUCGUAUGAUGGAGAGAAAGGCGAAUGAGCAGGUGAACGGUGAAUUAGGCGAAGGAAAUACCCGAAAAAGCGAGUGGCAUGUCCCAAUACUGGCCAUGACAGCUGAUGUAAUCCAUGCUACAUAUGAUAAGUGCUUGAAAUGUGGUAUGGAUGGAUAUGUUUCAAAGCCAUUUGAGGAACAGAAACUCUAUCAGGAAGUUGCAAAAUUUUUCAAAUCCAAAACCAUCUCUGACUCAUGACUCCCUGCUUCUUCUGCAUAGAACUUGGCGAGCAACUUAUACAUAGGUGAUAGGACACAUUUUAGUGUAGUCACAUGAACUUUCAGAUGUUGCAGGUGAAUGAACCUCUGUGUUGCUAGCACUCUCUUUGAAGGACAUUCUCUCUUAGUAGUAGUGAUUGCCUGCUUGGAAUUGUAGUGACACAAGCUAGACUUUGCUAAAUCAAUAAGGACUGGCUCUUAGCAAUUGUUUGUUACAUCAUGCAUUGGAUUGGCCCUGCCAUGUGAGUUCUCAAUAAUGUCCACACAUGUGAUGUGGUCAACAUACCAGGAUGAAGUGGAAAUGACAGCUUGAGGAGGAAAAGCUAGAAACAAUAACCAGGAAACAUUAAUUUCAUUUCGAGUAAGAAUAAUAAUUGGAGUUGAUUUGGAUCUUGAUUUCUUGCUGCAUCUUAAUCUGAAGAAAACGAAAUUGGAUCUAUCUUAUUUUUUUCUCUAUUAUUUUGUCACAGCAAAAUUCUGAGCAUUUCUGAGGGUUAUAUAUAGAACAGAGUAUUAAAAAAUAUUUAUUUGGAAAAAUUAUUAAUUUAGAAUGUUAUAAUAUUAUAUUAUAUGAUUAUAUGUUAUAGUUUUUAGCAAUUGAGCAAUGUCGACUUCUAAAAUAAAAUAAUGUCAUGAUUAACAGAAUGAACCUGCAUACUAUUGUACCUUGUGAAGUUGGACUUGAUGUUGUUAGAUAUUGCAAUAUAAUUGGACAACUAAGCUUUUCCCAUUCGACAAUAUUCACAGUCCAAGUGGAUGAAUUAAGGUAUAUUUCAGUAUGAUACGAACAAAUAUAAUUUUAUAAUAUGCCUAAAAGUCAAUAGUAACGAAUGAAAUCACAUUUAUAAUUUAUCUGUUUAUUUUCAUAUAUAUCAUUUUAGGCUUUUGGCAUGAUAUUUCAGCAAACUUUAAACUUAUUUGAGUAGCUGAAAAUUUAUUUCAUUAUCUUCUUUUUUAUUACAAGGAGGGUUAAAGCACCGAAACAACUAAACUGACCUUACUGUUCUAGUAAGCUUGGUUCUCCAUUCUUACUAGUUUAAUAUAAUCCUUUUUGGUUUUCCAAAAAAAAAACAACUAAACUGACCUAGGAAAGGAAACACCAACAUGAUCCCUAAGAAAGCCUUACUAGGGGGUCACCAACAACACGCCAGGGCUCAUCAUGAAGUUGUUUAAAUUUCCUAAGGUCAUCCUACAACUCAACCCUUAGUCUCUCUUGACGAUUUCCAUACACAACAAAUAAGAGCCAGUCACCAUGAACCAAAUCAUUCACACGCAGAUGAAUACACUGUAAUCUAACAUCAAGCACCUGAAUCGAAAAAGAAGAAGAAUCCCAGCAGCACCAUAUAUCCCCUGAAAACCCCAAGGGAUCAGAUCUAACAAUAGUAUCAAAGGCAAACUUAUUAACAAUUUCCUCAGGUUGAGCACCACUCACUCGCCGCUCCAAAAUAGCAAGAAAACCCAUGUUAUACAUUCUAGCACAAUCCCUAAUCAAACAUGCAAAAUCCUUUUUUCCCAGCACCUUUACAAUUUCAAAUUAUGUAAUUCAUCAUAAACAACAAGAUAAGAGGA